UCUUUCCUUCCCAAGCUCGGAGGAGGCCCAGCUCCCGAGGGGCUGAGAGCUGGAGUCCUGGUGAGGGGGGAGGAGCUGUCCCGCGAGGACCACCCCCCAAGGAAGUAUGAAUAGAAAAGACAGCAAGAGGUAAGGGGACCCUCCCCAGGAGCCAAGCCUGUGCGGGAAGGUUGGGGAGGCGCCGAGAGGGGCCAGGACGUCUGCCUCCUGUAGGAUCAGGGGUGCCAGGGACAGAUGCUCCAGGGAGCCCAGGUCCAGCCAGGGCCAAGGCUGCGUGCGCAGAGGCGCCUGCGGCUGACGCGCUCUCUCUCUCUGGACUUUGCUUCUCCCCUCACCGCCCUCCCCAUUGCUCUUUGGGCUACGGUCCUCCCUGGGGUCUUCCUGGCUCCCCAUCCAGUCGCUGCCCCCGACUGGAAACUCCAGCCUCCUCCUGCAGGGCCCUGCCCCAGGAGAGGGGUGUGUGAUGCAAGAUCAGCCGGUUCCCCUGCCUCUUAAACCACACCUGGCUGCUCCAGACACCUAGGGGGCUGCCAGUCCUCAAGUAGGGACCAAGUGGCUGCCACUGCCCCCGGGCUGUGGGAUGGACUUCUAACUCUGGGCAAGCUUGCCCUCCGGUCCGCACAGAGAUGGAUGGCGAUUGGGUCCCCAAUCUAGGUGACCCCUCCAACCUCCCCCAGCAUGAUUCUGAUGAGCAACUGGACUUCCCUCCCCAUACCAUUCAGUAGUUUAAUGGUGGGAUCCUAACUGCCUCAUUGCUGGCUGUGUGACCUUA
rnacentral:lncRNA from 1 species